GCUCCGGUGGCCUAGUGGUUAAAGCGUUUGCCUUGGAUGCGUAAGGUCGUGAGUUUGAUUCCCGGCCGAGUCA